UACGUGAGGGAGCAAGCGUUGUUUCGGAUUUACUGGGGCGUAAAGGGCGCGUAGGCGGCGCGACAAGUCAACCUUGUGGAAAUCUCCGGGCUUAACUCGGAACGGUCAAGUGAAACUGUCAUGCUAGAGUGCAGAAGGGGCAAUCGGAAUUCUUGGUGUAGCGGUGAAAUGCGUAGAUAUCAAGAGGAACACCUGAGGUGAAGACGGGUUGCUGGGCUGACACUGACGCUGAGGCGCGAAAGCCAGGGGAGCAAACGGG
rnacentral:rRNA from 1 species